rnacentral:rRNA from 1 species
GUCGACGGGUAGCCGACCUGAGAGGGUGACCGGCCACACUGGGACUGAGACACGGCCCAGACUCCUACGGGAGGCAGCAGUGGGGAAUAUUGCACAAUGGGCGAAAGCCUGAUGCAGCGACGCCGCGUGAGGGAUGACGGCCUUCGGGUUGUAAACCUCUUUCAGCAGGGACGAAGCGCAAGUGACGGUACCUGCAGAAGAAGCACCGGCUAACUACGUGCCAGCAGCCGCGGUAAUACGUAGGGUGCAAGCGUUGUCCGGAAUUACUGGGCGUAAAGAGUUCGUAGGCGGUUUGUCGCGUCGUUUGUGAAAACCAGCAGCUCAACUGCUGGCUUGCAGGCGAUACGGGCAGACUUGAGUACUGCAGGGGAGACUGGAAUUCCUGGUGUAGCGGUGAAAUGCGCAGAUAUCAGGAGGAACACCGGUGGCGAAGGCGGAUCUCUGGGCAGUAACUGACGCUGAGGAACGAAAGCGUGGGUAGCGAACAGGAUUAGAUACCCUGGUAGUCCACGCCGUAAACGGUGGGCGCUAGGUGUGGGUUCCUUCCACGGAAUCCGUGCCGUAGCUAACGCAUUAAGCGCCCCGCCGGGGGAAAUUACGGG